rnacentral:rRNA from 1 species
AUGAAUUUUCAUGUUUUUUGUGUCCCACAUCAUGUCUCAGAGCCUAUUAAAAGCAUUACCAAGUGUCCACAUAAUCAUCUGAAGAACCUGCAUAUUACAGGAUUUUCUGGAACAACAACACAACUUGAAUUUCUAGUGCAUGUUGUUGAAAGUGCCCAUGCCCUGGAGAUUUUGACGAUUAAUGGACCUAACAUAGCUCGCCGUGAUGAUAAAUGGCUAAUAAGAUUCCGUUCCCUAGUUCGAGAACUGGAGAGAAAAUAUCUUCAUGAAAUAAUUUCACCAAAUGUGAAGCUCUCCUUUUUACCCCGGAAUUAUAAAAUGCUGGAAGGACAAAAACACAUGAGUUUUCUGGAAGAAAUCGAUGCCGCCAUAUUAUAUUAUGCAACUCAUAAAUGA